rnacentral:pre_miRNA from 1 species
UUAAUACUCCCUUCGUCUGGAAAUACUUGUCCCAGAAAUGGAUAUAAUGGAUGUAUCUAUAACUAAAAUAAGUCUAGAUACAUUCAUCUUUAGGACAAGUAUUUCUGGACGGAGGGAGUAUAAA